GGGAAAUUUCAGGGCUUUUGUAACCACAGAUACUGCAGAUGUAAGUACACGUGGUGCUACAACACUGCAAGCCUGUCAUUCUGAUACGCUUACUGGAAGUAGUGAGGAGCUCCACUGCCUAUUUAAAAUCUGCAUUUCGGAGACUGACUCCCUCCGUUUCAGUGUCAUAAAGGUGUCAGCCAACAUCCCUGAAGCCGUGCUAAGAUUUCUAUGGAAGAGAAGACUCCAAAGUCCUGCUUUCAGGCUGCUGCGCUGUCCUGGCUUUUGCAUCCUGGCUCUUCUCUCCAUCGGUGUGACCCUGCAUCCUGUUGGUGUAACUGUGUAUAGGACUCCUGUGGAUUUCCUUCAGUUCUUAUCAGCUGAGGAUCUUCCUCCCCGCCUCUGACUCAGUGCAGGAUGACACACAGAUGCGAAAUACUGGGCAGGAACAACCCGUACCUUUCCAGGAGUGAUUGGAGAGCUGCCUGAAGAACCCAGUGAAAGAUGCACUCAGACAACAUACGGAAGAAAAAGCUAGUGGCUUAUACCGAGGGUUAUAUAUAUUCACUACCAGAAAGAGUAGUGACAGCACUCUAUCAUCUGCCCCAGCUGAAUCAGUGCGUUAUUGUAUGUUGGCUGAAGGGAGGUUGUACUGAAGCUACCACAAAAGGGAUCCCAAAAUAAGCCAAACCUGCCCUUCCCCCCGGAGCCGCUUCUCACUGCUGUGGGAAGCAGCGGGCACGGAGGGCCUGCGCACCGUGGGCAGUGGCUGCAGGCCGUGUGGUGUAGGGCCUGCAAUUUCAGUGACGUUGGCAAGUUAAAGACACGCAAAAAAUGUUUAAAUCAUCCCAAGUGGUAAGAUAACAGACGAAUCAGCUCCAUUCCAACAGCUAGUUGGAAUUCCUUAGUGUUAAUGCUGUUGGCAUAGGUACUAAAUUAUUCAGGUUGUUCUGCA
ensembl:lncRNA